AGAGUUCGAUCAUGGCUCAGGAUGAACGCUGGCGGCGUGCUUAACACAUGCAAGUCGAACGAAGACAUCUGAGUGCUUGCACUUGGAUGGACUGAGUGGCGGACGGGUGAGUAACGCGUGGGUAACCUGCCUUAUACAGGGGGAUAACAGUUGGAAACGACUGCUAAUACCGCAUAAGCGCACAGAGCUGCAUGGCUCGGUGUGAAAAACUCCGGUGGUAUGGGAUGGGCCCGCGUCUGAUUAGGCAGUUGGCGGGGUAACGGCCCACCAAACCGACGAUCAGUAGCCGGCCUGAGAGGGCGACCGGCCACAUUGGGACUGAGACACGGCCCAA
rnacentral:rRNA from 1 species